UCACAGAACAGAUGCAGCAGGCUUCAUGACAGGGCAAGUUUCUUCCCACUGUCAUGCUGAUGUGCCUGGAGGAAUGUGCAUCUCUAAGGGUCAACACCCUCAAACUACUUCAGACCAGGGUGUGGGGGAGCAGAGUGCAUUCAAGGAAUUUUCCAGGGCAGGGGAACUGAGAAAGAACAACCACAGACUGGCCAACGUAUUCCUUGCAAGUCCUGGCACAGGAGAUAUGCCAGGGAGGAACAGCGCAAAGUACUAUUGAACAAUUGUUACCUUCCAGUCCAGGAAUAGCAGCAGCUCAACAAUGGGACAAGUGAGGUGAUCGCUAUACACACACUUUGGAAGGUUUCUGUAUUGGCCAUACUCAGGUUGAUCCACACCUCCAUUUGAAAAUUUUUAAGGCUCCGCAAAUGAAAAAGGUUGAAACCUACUGCUCUGAUACAG